AGUGGCGGACGGGCGAGUAACACGUAAGAAUUUGCCUUUAGGAGGGGGAUAACAACUGGAAACGGUUGCUAAUACCCCAUAUGCUUUCGAGUGAAAUGGAUUUUUCCGCCUAGAGAGAAGCUUGCGCCUGAUUAGCUUGUUGGUAAGGUAAUGGCUUACCAAGGCGACGAUCAGUAUCUGGUUUGAGAGGACGAUCAGACACACUGGAACUGAGACACGGUCCAGACUCCUACGGGAGGCAGCAGUGGGGAAUUUUCCGCAAUGGGCGAAAGCCUGACGGAGCAAUACCGCGUGAGGGAAGACUGCCUAUGGGUUGUAAACCUCUUUUUUCAGGGAGGAACAAAAUGACGUGUACCUGAAGAAUAAGCAUCGGCUAACUCCGUGCCAGCAGCCGCGGUAAGACGGAGGAUGCAAGUGUUAUCCGGAAUCACUGGGCGUAAAGCGUCUGUAGGUGGUUUAAUAAGUCAACUGUUAAAUCUUGAAGCUCAACUUCAAAAUCGCAGUCGAAACUAUUAGACUAGAGUAUAGUAGGGGUAAAGGGAAUUUCCAGUGGAGCGGUGAAAUGCGUAGAUAUUGGAAAGAACACCGAUGGCGAAGGCACUUUACUGGGCUAUUACUGACACUCAGAGACGAAAGCUAGGGUAGCAAAUGGGAUUAGAUACCCCAGUAGUCCUAGCCGUAAACAAUGGAUACUAGAUGU
rnacentral:rRNA from 1 species